rnacentral:rRNA from 1 species
CAAUAGCGUAUAUUAAUGUUGUUGCAGUUAAAAGGCUCGUAGUUGGAUUUCUGGUGGGAACGCCGGUCCGGCUCCGCAAGGGGUCGUGAAUUGGUUUCUCCUGCCAUCCUCAGGGGGAGCUGCGCUGGUAUUCAUUUAUCGGUGUAGUCACGCCUGUCGUUUACUGUGAACAAAUUAGAGUGUUCAAAGCAAGGUGUACUUGAAUACAUUAGCAUGGAAUAAUAAGAUAGGACUUUGGUGGUUCUUUUUUGAUAUUUUGUUGGUUUGCACGCCAAAGUAAUGAUUAAUAGGAGCAGUUGGGGGUAUUCGUAUUCAAUUGUCAGAGGUGAAAUUCUUGGAUUUAUAGAAGACGAACUACUGCGAAAGCAUUUACCAAGGAUGUUUUCAUUAA